GAAUUUGAUAUAAAUAUUAAUUGAAGAUAUAUUUAAAAAUAAUAAUUUAGUAUUUAUAUUUUAUUGGGAGGAUAAUUAAAUUUUAUAAACUUAAAUUUUAAAAAAAUAUUAAUUGAUAGUAAAUUAAAAAGUAAAGUCAUUUAGAGUUAAAAAAAUUAAUUACCUUAGGGAUAACAGCAUAAAAUUUUUAGAGAGAUCUUAUCAAUAAAAAAUAUUGU
rnacentral:rRNA from 1 species